AUGGACUAGAAACCAGCACAGAAUAACUGUCAAUUAAAAUGUAGAUAUUUUAGGGCUGGGAUGUAGCUCAGUGGUUCCGCCAUCUGCCUUGCAAGCGCAAGGUCCUGAAUUUGAUCCCGGUACCCCAAAAAAAGGUAGGUAUUUUAAUCAUGAUCACCGUUAUUAAUAUUAUAUAUUCUUAGUAGAUUAUAUAUCCCCAGAACAAAAAUUAUGUUAAUUAUAAAUGAAACAGUGCUAGGUUCCUGAAAUUACUUGGAUCACAUCAGCAUGGACUGUAGUGGAGGGGACAAGCUUGCGGCUGACUGGUGUGGAGGCUGAGGACGUUUAUCUGCUGCAGAGCUUGGGAUUUGUGUAGGCUGUGGUCUACCUUCAAGGCUUCAGUAUCCUCAUGAAGCCCAGGCGAGGGCUGGAGCCAGCAAGCAAGGCUAAAUGAGAGGGUGAGGAUGAAUAGGGAAAACCUAGCCGCAGGACAGUGCUAUCCCAAGUCAAGGGAUAGGAAAAUCUAGGCUGCAGGGCCUCAGAGCUGAACAAUUCCUGGGAGUGAGACUAGCAGGAACUCUGCCAACCUUUGGGAUCUUAAAUAAGAGGCAGGGCAUGGGGGAAUGAAGAAAAUGUCCUAGUAUAAUUUGGACUGUAAUUAUCUCCUAAAAGCCUGUAGUUUAAAGGUUUGGCUCCAGAAUGGCACUAUUCGGAAAUUCUGAAACUCAGGAAAAUUAGGACCUAGUGGGAGGUCUUUCGGUAGUUGGAGACAUGUCCUUGAAGGGAAAGUGGGAUCUGGAUCACUUCCUCUUUCUCUUUUGCUUCUUGGGACCGAGGUGAACUCUACAACAUGCACUAAUCAUGAUGUGCUGCCGCAUCCAAACCAAUGGGCCCAACUGAUCAUUGGCUGAAACCCGGAAAACCAUGAGCCAAAACCAACCUUUUCUCUUCAUAAGCUGAUUCUCAGCAGAAAGCUGACUAAGCCCAGAGCCACAUGGAAAGAAUUCACUGUUCCAGGUAGGAUGGGCCAAGUAUCCUGGGACAAUGGAUGCAGCAACUAGUGUGGACCUCUGACUGCGGAUCCCUGUAACCAGUGCUCCCUCAAUUAUGCACAAUUUAGUGCCAUGGAUUUGGGAGAAGAAGAGAUAGGAAGAAUUAUCUGGAAGAAUCGAAGAUAAGUAUGUCUACCAUCCAGCAGAAUGGGAACUCAGG
rnacentral:lncRNA from 1 species